AGCGUGUUGUUUAACGACACAAGUAAUAAAUUAUGAGAAGUUACAUUUUCAACAAUUACAAUCCAAUCGACGUUAUUCAUUCCACAUGCGAUUCACACGUUAUAAUACAUAUACGUAAAUGUCGUAACGUUGGUCAUGCAUGUGGAUUGAAUAAGGAGAAUUGGAUUGUUAA